GUGUGGCUCAGUGGUAGAGUGCUUGCCUGGAAUGUGUGAGGCACUGGGUUCAAUCCUCAGCAC
rnacentral:tRNA from 1 species